GACUUUGAAGUAUAAUAAUAUGUUGAAUUGCAAAUUCAGAGAUGUAGUAUAGAGCUGCCAAAGUCU
rnacentral:tRNA from 1 species